CCUUAGAGUUUGAUCCUGGCUCAGGAUCCUCGCUGGCGGCGUGCCUAACACAUGCAAGUCGAACGGAGUUCUUAAGGAAUGCGACUUCGGUCAAAUGACUUUUGAACUUAGUGGCGAACGGGUGAGUAACGCGUGAGGAACCUGCCUCAAAGAGGGGGACAACAGUUGGAAACGACUGCUAAUACCGCAUAAGCCCACAGGUCGGCAUCGACCAGAGGGAAAAGGAGCAAUCCGCUUUGAGAUGGCCUCGCGUCCGAUUAGCUAGUUGGUGAGGUAACGGCCCACCAAGGCGACGAUUGGUAGCCGGACUGAGAGGUUGAACGGCCACAUUGGGACUGAGACACGGCCCAGACUCCUACGGGAGGCAGCAGUGGGGAAUAUUGCACAAUGGAGGAAACUCUGAUGCAGCGACGCCGCGUGAGGGAAGAAGGUCUUCGGAUUGUAAACCUCUGUUGUCAGGGACGAUAAUGACGGUACCUGACGAGGAAGCCACGGCUAACUACGUGCCAGCAGCCGCGGUAAAACGUAGGUGGCAAGCGUUGUCCGGAAUUACUGGGUGUAAAGGGAGCGCAGGCGGGAAGACAAGUUGGAAGUGAAAUCUAUGGGCUCAACCCAUAAACUGCAUUUGAAACUGUAGAGCUUGAGUGAAGUAGAGGCAGGCGGAAUUCCCCGUGUAGCGGUGAAAUGCGUAGAGAUGGGGAGGAACACCAGUGGCGAAGGCGGCCUGCUGGGCUUUAACUGACGCUGAGGCACGAAAGCGUGGGUAGCAAACAGGAUUAGAUACCCUGGUAGUCCACGCUGUAAACGAUG
rnacentral:rRNA from 1 species